AAUGAACGCUGGCGGCGUGCCUAACACAUGCAAGUCGAGCGAGAAAGUUUCUUCGGAAAUGAGUAAAGCGGCGGACGGGUGAGUAACACGUGAGAACUUGCCCUUUGAUGGAGAAUACCUUCGAGAAAUCGAGGUUAAUACUGCAUAAGUCCCUUCGGGGAGAAAGAUGGCUUUAUGCUGUCGUCAAAGGAUAGGCUUGCGGACUAUUAGCUAGUUGGUGAGGUAAAGGCUCACCAAGGCGAUGAUGGUUAACCGGCCUGAGAGGGUGAACGGUCACAUUGGAACUGAGAUACGGUCCAAACUCCUACGGGAGGCAGCAGUGA
rnacentral:rRNA from 1 species